GGGUUUGUCAUCUAUGCCACUGUGGAGGAGGUGGACGCAGCCACGAAUGCAAGGCCACACAAGGUGGAUGGAAGAGUUGUGGAACCAAAGAGAGCUGUCUCAAGAGAAGAUUCUCAAAGACCAGAGAACUUCUCCACAUCUGCUUCUACCAUGAAUUAACCAACACAAAUCAUAUGUUCCAUUGGUCGUAAUGGCUGGUCACAAAAAUCAUAACAGUUUUACAUGAGGUACACUUGCAGAUGUGUUUCCAUCAACCUCUGUAUUGAAGGCCCAGUUAUCUCUACUUACCUUGUUGCUCGUGUAAACACCUCUUAAGUACCACUCCAAAUCUUUGGACACCGUUGGACGCUUACUCCACCCUGCUGCCACUGCAGAAACCAGCUGUCUGUGGACACUGCCAGCUCCAUGUGGCAUCCCAAAUGGCACCCACCUCACAGGACCCCUGGCCCCUAUGCUUGAGAAACCCACAAUAAGUCAGAGAAAAAAUGUGCUGAGAUCCAGGCCCCUCCAGAAACAGUCCCAGAAGCCCAAACAAUCAGUUGUCAGAUGCCCAAUGGUGACCAGCUCCUCAGCCCAAAACUCUAGCACUCCCUGGGGAGAAGGUAAACAGAAAUGGAGAAUGAGGAGUCUCAGCUCCUGGCCUCCGGCCUGCUCAAGCGAAGGGGAAAUACCAUUGUAUCAUAAGCAGUGGUAAUUCCCGUCUGCCAGGUGUCUACCGGGUGAAGGGGUCUUGCUCUGUGCUGGGUGCUCA
ensembl:lncRNA LINC00367 long intergenic non-protein coding RNA 367